rnacentral:rRNA from 1 species
UACGUAGGGGGCAAGCGUUGUCCGGAUUUACUGGGUGUAAAGGGCGUGCAGCCGGGCUGACAAGUCAGAUGUGAGAUCCCGCGGCUCAACCGCGGAACUGCAUUUGAAACUGUCAGUCUUGAGUACCGGAGAGGUCAUCGGAAUUCCUUGUGUAGCGGUGAAAUGCGUAGAUAUAAGGAAGAACACCAGUGGCGAAGGCGGAUGACUGGACGGCAACUGACGGUGAGGCGCGAAAGCGUGGGGAGCAAACAGG